GAUGAACGCUGGCGGCGUGCCUAAUACAUGCAAGUCGAGCGAAUGGAUUAAGAGCUUGCUCUUAUGAAGUUAGCGGCGGACGGGUGAGUAACACGUGGGUAACCUGCCCAUAAGACUGGGAUAACUCCGGGAAACCGGGGCUAAUACCGGAUAACAUUUUGAACCGCAUGGUUCGAAAUUGAAAGGCGGCUUCGGCUGUCACUUAUGGAUGGACCCGCGUCGCAUUAGCUAGUUGGUGAGGUAACGGCUCACCAAGGCAACGAUGCGUAGCGGACCUGCGAGGGGAAUCGGCCACCCUGGGACUGAGACACGGCCCAGACUCCUACGGGAGGCAACAGUAGGGGAUCUUCCGCAAUGGACGAAAGUCUGACGGAGCAACGCCGCGUGAGUGAUGAAGGCUUUCGGGUCGUAAAACUCUGUUGUUAGGGAAGAACAAGUGCUAGUUGAAUAAGCUGACACCUUGACGGUACCUAACCAGAAAGCCACGGCUAACUACGUGCCAGCAGCCGCGGUAA
rnacentral:rRNA from 1 species